UUCCGGUUGAUCCUGGCGGAGGUCACUGCUAUCGGGGUUCGAUUAAGCCAUGCGAGUCGAGAGGGUUCGGCCCUCGGCGUACUGCUCAGUAACACGUGGAUAACCUGCCCUAAGGAAGGGGAUAACCCCGGGAAACUGGGGAUAAUACCCUAUAGGUUACAGAUGCUGGAAUGCUCUGUAACCGAAAGCUCCGGCGCCUUAGGAUGGAUCUGCGGCCGAUUAGGUUGUUGUCGGGGUAACGGCCCAACAAGCCAGUAAUCGGUACGGGUUGUGGGAGCAAGAGCCCGGAGUUGGAUUCUGAGACACGAAUCCAGGCCCUACGGGGCGCAGCGGGCGCGAAAACUUUACAAUGCGGGCAACCGUGAUAAGGGAACCUCGAGUGCCUGUAUAUGCAGGCUGUCUGGGUGUCUAAAACACACCUAAAGAAAGGGCCGGGCAAGACCGGUGCCAGCCGCCGCGGUAAUACCGGCGGCUCGAGUGGUGGCCACUUUUAUUGGGCUUAAAGCGUUCGUAGCUGGGUUAUUAAGUCCCUUGGGAAAUCCGACGGCUUAACCGUCGGGCGUCUAAGGGAUACUGGUAAUCUUGGAACCGGGAGAGGUGAGGGGUACUUCGGGGGUAGGAGUGAAAUCCUGUAAUCCUCGAGGGACCACCUGUGGCGAAGGCGCCUCACCAGAACGGCUUCGACAGUGAGGGACGAAAGCUGGGGGAGCAAACCGGAUUAGAUACCCGGGUAGUCCCAGCCGUAAACGAUGUGCGUUAGGUGUAUCGGUGACCACGAGUCACCGAGGUGCCGAAGGGAAGCCGUGAAACGUACCGCCUGGGAAGUACGGUCGCAAGGCUGAAACUUAAAGGAAUGGGCGGGGGAGCAC
rnacentral:rRNA from 1 species